AGUGGAUGGGGAGCAACCUAGUUGUGCGUGUGUAAAGGUAGUGCCAAGAAAAGCGAUGAUCAUGUUGAAAAUCAAUUCCCGGUACCCGAAACCGACACAGGUGGGCAAGUAGAGAAUACUAAGGGGCGCGAGGUAACUCUCUCCAAGGAACUCGGCAAAAUGACCCCGUAACUUAGGGAGAAGGGGUGCCACCGAGAGGUGGUCGCAGUGAAGAGGCCCAGGCGACUGUUUAGCAAAAACAUAGGUCUCUGCAAACUCGAAAGAGGAGGUAUAGGGGCUGACGCCUGCCCAGUGCCGGAAGGUUAAAGAAGUUGGUCAGUUUUAGGAUGAAGCUAGCGACUGAAGCCCCGGUGAACGGCGGCCGUAACUAUAACGGUCCUAAGGUAGCGAAAUUCCUUGUCGGGUAAGUUCCGACCCUCACGAAAGGCGUAACGAUCUGGGCGCUGUCUCGGAGAGAGGCUCGGCGAAAUAGGAUUGUCUGUGAAGAUACGGACUACCUGCAUUUGGACAGAAAGACCCUAUGAAGCUUUACUAUAGCUUGGAAUUGUGUUCGGGCUUCCUGUGCGCAGGAUAGGUGGGAGGCGUAGAAGGUAUUCUUGUGGGGAUACUGGAGCCAACGGUGAGAUACCACUCUCAGGAGGCUAGAAUUCUAACUUAAUUAAGGACAGUUUCAGGUGGGUAGUUUGACUGGGGCGGUCGCCUCCAAAAAGGUAACGGAGGCGUACAAAGGUUCCCUCAGACUGGUUGGAAAUCAGUCGAAGAGUGCAAAGGCAGAAGGGAGCUUGACUGCGAGAAGUACAGUUCGAGCAGGGUGGAAACACGGUCUUAGUGAUCCGACGGUGCUGUGUGGAAGGGCCGUCGCUCAACGGAUAAAAGUUACUCUAGGAUAACAGGCUGAUCUCCCCCAAGAGUUCACAUCGACGGGGAGGUUUGGCACCUCGAUGUCGGCUCAUCGCAACCUGGGGCGGAAGUACGUCCCAAGGGUUGGGCUGUUCGCCCAUUAAAGCGGUACGUGAGCUGGGUUCAGAACGUCGUGAGACAGUUCGGUCCAUAUCCGAUGUAGGCGUGAGAAUAUUGAGAGGAGCCUUCCUUAGUACGAGAGGACCGGGAAGGACGCACCGCUGGUGUACCUGUUAUGAUGCCAAUUGUAAACGCAGGGUAGCCAAGUGCGGAGAGGAUAACCGCUGAAAGCAUCUAAGUGGGAAGCCCACCUCAAGAUGAGUAUUCUGGUGUAAGGUCACGGGAAGACGACCCGUAAAUAGGCACGAGGUGGAAGUGCAGAGAUGUAUGAAGCCGAAGUGUACUAAUAGACCGUCGGCUUGAUA
rnacentral:rRNA from 1 species